UACGUAGGGUGCGAGCGUUAAUCGGAUUUACUGGGCGUAAAGCGUGCGCAGGCGGUUUGUUAAGCGAGAUGUGAAAGCCCCGGGCUCAACCUGGGAACCGCAUUUCGAACUGGCAAACUAGAGUCUUGUAGAGGGGGGUAGAAUUUCCAGUGUAGCGGUGAAAUGCGUAGAGAUUUGGAGGAACACCAGUGGCGAAGGCAGCCCCCUGGGCCUGUACUGACGCUCAUGCACGAAAGCGUGGGGAGCAAACAGG
rnacentral:rRNA from 1 species